UCGGCGUCUCCAGCAGCCAAGGACGGGCUCCCGGCCUCCGCGCGGCGUCGUCUCUUCCUUCCCCGUCAUCGUCCCGGUCCGGCCCUUCGCGCCGCAGGGGUAAGCACGCAAGCACGCACGUCGCCGCUGCCCUGCCUCUCUCCCUGUCCAUCUCUGGCGGUUCCCUUUGUUGGCGGCGGCGGGGAGUCUGUAGAUAGUUUCUUAGAUGGAGACCUCGCAGAGUAGUCGUUUACGUAUUCUGACUAGUCGUUUACGUAUAAAGUUUCUUAUAGAUGGCAGCUGCUUGGACGCGGACGACACACGAUCGAGUGGGGGAGAGGGAGACAGGAUGAUGGACGCCUAUACGGGUGUGGGGGAUCCCUGACAGCGGAUCGAGAGCAGCAUGAGCUGUAUUUGUAUGUCCGUUGCAUAUGAUUGGGGAUCGGAUAUGUCGGAUUAAUUUGCAUCUCUGAAUGAAUUAAUUAAUGAAUGAUUCUCCUGUUUAGCUGGGAGAGGUCUGAUUACGUGGAGAAUGAAAAGCUGGAGCAGCUUAACGUGGGAGAUUGGCCAGCCGGAGAACUCCGUAGUUCAAUCAACGUGAGGCGGCCAUCGAAUCUGGACAGAACCGAGUGGUAGAUUGAUGAAGUAGGUGGUUUGUUGCAUGCAUAUAUUGGUAUAGUACUACUAGUACUCGGUUUGUAGCCACUCAAAAAUAUAAUACUGCUAGGAGUAAAUUUGAAGAAGAGAGCAGCUAGGUCAUUUUAUUACAGGAUUAACACUUGCAUGCCGUCCAACCAAACCUAGAUCGGAGCCAUCGGCCGACACCGGCAGCUGCGUUCAUCCUCAGGCGCCGAUUAAACAAAGGAGAUCUACUCAUGGCGCACAUGGGGAAGAGAUCAAAGGGGAGAGCUUUUGUAUAAAGUUAGUGUGCAGCCAGAGUCCAGUAUGAUAUCUCCAGAGUAGUCGUUUACUAUCUCUGUAGAUAGUUUCUAGUAUAAAGUUUGUUAUUUACGUAUUCUGACUAGUAGUUUACUAUCUGUAGAUAGUUUCUUAGAUGGAAACCCCGCAGAGUAGUUAGUGUGCAGCCAGAGUCCAGUAUCAUAUCUCAAUCUUGAGUAAAGCAUUUGAAUUUAAGCUAGUAGGUAUUGAGCUGUGUGAUUGAAGUGUCUCUGUUGAAUACAUCUAAUCUGAACAAUUUCACAUUUGCUUCUCUGAUAAGUAAGGUCUGUUUUCAUUUACAGGUAGAAGAUAGCGACAGAGUGGGAAGGUUUGUGCAAAGAUCUUCUCCUCCGUCGCCGUCCGUAACAAAGCUACUGGGUGCAUCCGUCCAUCAUCUUCAGAUCUGAGUGAAGAGGGCAUCCGUCCAUCUCAAAAGGUUUAAUUUUUGUACCCAGCUAAUUAACUUGUCUUUUUUCAUCAGUUCCUCCUUGAGUAAUUGAAAAGGGGAUUAUAUUAGAUUGCUAGCUGAUUCUUGGUGAAAAUUGCUUUGCCUGUAUGUAUGUAGAGAGUCUUGUAGCAAUGAUUCUUGGUGAAAACGCCCUGUCCUCGAUACCCCCUGGUUCAUGGUAAUUACUCGACAUUUUGGAAAUGAAACUGACAGAGUUUUGGUCCUAGAUAUUUCUUUGAGCAAAUGUUACAACUGGAACGCAGAAUUCUGAUUGCAGUCACAAGUCAUGUGGAGUUCGAACUGUUAGUGAACAUAGGUCCUACGUUCUAGUUGUAGGUUAAGUGCGAGCAAUUUCUAGGAGUAUGAGACCUCAGCUUGAAUAGGUUAUCUUCGGUUGCAUUGUAGCUAAAUUCCUCAUUUAGUUUGUUUUCUUAGGCCAAUGUCGUCCAGAAAAUUCAGAAUUUGUAUACUGUUUCUAUUAAUUAUAGCCAAUUGGGUAGCGGAUUUAAUAUGGCUAGGAAACCUCUGCCCAGACCCCCUCUCACCACCCUCUUCCUCUUAACUUAAUAGGUUUACCACUUUCUGCAUAUAGGGAGCAUGUUCUUAUCAAUUUACUCAUUUCUUUUGUAGGCGAUGGCUCCACGACAUCUACAAUCACUAUUUGCAUGUUCUUAGCAGACAAAUCUGGGAGAAUGUACUAGCUGCAUAUAUUGGUUCUUGGGUUUACUAUUAGAGCUUUUUAUCUGCAUAUAUAUAAACAUAGGAGUGAGAAUGCCCAGGUAUGCGGCCCUAAAUUUAGUUUCACUGCUUUCUUACUCGUGGGAUUUAUCCAAUUAAUAACUAUAAUGGAUUAAUGAGAAAAAGACAAGGGAAAUUAGCUUUAUAAAAAUGAAACUAUUCAUGGUAAACAUUUGGCAGAAGAGAAUCACAAAAUGAACAACAGCCUCCCUCACGGGAAACAUCAGGUGUGGUAAAAUGCUCACUUAAAAAAUAGAAACUAGAGAUUACUUCCUAGUUUCCUUUUGCCUCGUUGCUACUGGUGUUGUCUGUUUAGGUAACCCUCUGCCUCAUGGUGUUCAGCUGGUUGGCACCAAUCUGCUAAGUAUACAUAAAGUGAAUUUGAGUUAUAUAAAUAUGCUAACUGUCUACAAGACAUCACUAACAUAGAACAAAAUGAUGUAGUCUAGAGUUCAACAUGACUUUGUUUUUUCUGCUCUUUUUCGUAAGCAUACCAAAGCGAAUCCAACCUCAAUCCUUUGAAAGUUUGAACCAUUGAUCUCCUCUAUGCUUCCUAUCCAUUUUCACAUCAAUUAGGUGCAUCGACAUUGACAUCAACACGGGGCUGGGGCGGCGGCGUUGACGGCAUCAACAUCGACACGGGGCUGCUGCAGCGAUGACGACGGCAUCCUCACGGUGCUGUGGCACCGACCUCAACGACGACAACAUCAUCACGGUGCUGCGGCGGCGGCGAC
rnacentral:lncRNA from 1 species